CGAACGCUGGCGGCGUGCUUAACACAUGCAAGUCGACCGAAAAGAGGGAAAGAGCUUGCUCUUUCCGGAAUUGAGUGGCAAACGGGUGAGUAACACGUAAACAACCUGCCUUCAGGAUGGGGACAACAGACGGAAACGACUGCUAAUACCGAAUAAGUUCCAAGAGCCGCAUGGCCCAUGGAAGAAAAGGUGGCCUCUACCUGUAAGCUAUCGCCUGAAGAGGGGUUUGCGUCUGAUUAGCUGGUUGGAGGGGUAACGGCCCACCAAGGCGACGAUCAGUAGCCGGUCUGAGAGGAUGAACGGCCACACUGGAACUGAGACACGGUCCAGACUCCUACGGGAGGCAGCAGUGGGGAAUCUUCCGCAAUGGGCGAAAGCCUGACGGAGCAACGCCGCGUGAGUGAUGACGGCCUUCGGGUUGUAAAACUCUGUGAUCCGGGACGAAAAGGCAGAGUGCGAAGAACAAACUGCAUUGACGGUACCGGAAAAGCAAGCCACGGCUAACUACGUG
rnacentral:rRNA from 1 species